rnacentral:rRNA from 1 species
AACGAACGCUGGCGGCGCGCCUAAUACAUGCAAGUCGAACGAGAAGCUGUAGCAAUACAGUUGUACAGUGGCGAACGGGUGAGGAAUACAUGGGUGACCUACCCUCGAGUGGGGAAUAACCAGCCGAAAGGUUGGCUAAUACCGCGUACGCUUCCCAGUCUACGGGUUGGGAAGGAAAGCGAUGCCGUGGGUAUCGCGCUCAAGGUUGGGCUCAUGUCCUAUCAGCUUGNGGUGGGGUAACGGCUCACCAAGGCAACGACGGGUAGCUGGUCUGAGAGGACGAUCAGCCACACUGGCACUGCGACACGGGCCAGACUCCUACGGGAGGCAGCAGUAAGGAAUAUUGCGCAAUGGGCGAAAGCCUGACGCAGCGACGCCGCGUGGGGGGA